rnacentral:sRNA from 1 species
GCUGGGUGUGGUCGUGCAUUCCUGUAAUCCCAGUGUCUGGGAGGCUGAGGCGGGAGGAGUCUGAGUUCAAAGCCAGCCUUGG